GACGAACCGUGCGAACGUUAUUCGGAAUCACUGGGCUUAAAGCGCGUGUAGGCGGGCCGGCACGUCGGUCGCUGAAAUCCCCCGGCUCAACCGGGGAACGGGCGCCGAUACGACCGGCCUGGAGGGACGUAGGGGGACCUGGAACUUCCGGUGGAGCGGUGAAAUGCGUUGAGAUCGGAAGGAACGCCCGUGGCGAAAGCGAGGUCCUGGGCGGCGGCUGACGCUGAGACGCGAAAGCCAGGGGAGCGAACAGG
rnacentral:rRNA from 1 species